rnacentral:lncRNA from 1 species
GGGGCGAUGUGGGGGGCGAUGGGGGCGCCGAUGGGGGGGGUGUGGAUGGUGAUGGGGGGGCGCUGCUGUGGGGCACACAGUGCUGUGGGGCGCGGUGCUGUGGGGCACAUGGACAGUGCUGUGGGGUGCACUGCUGUGGGUUGCGAUGCUGUGGGGUGCGAUGCUGUGGGGCACACAGCGCUGUGGGGUGCGGUGCUGUGGGGCGCAUAGAAAGCACUGUGGGGUGCGGUGCUGUGGGGUGCGGUGCUGUGGGGCACACAGUGCUAUGGACAGCUCUAUGGGGUGUGAUGAUGUGGGGUGCGAUGCUGUGGGGCACACAGCUCUAUGGGGUGCAGUGCUGUGGGGUGCGCUGCUGUGGGGUGCAGUGCUGUGGGGCACAGAGCACUGUGGGGUGCAGUGCUGUGGGGUGCGGUGCUGUGGGGCAUACAGCUCUAUGGACCGCUCUAUGGGGUGUGAUGAUGUGGGGUGCGGUGCUGUGGGGCACAGAGCGCUGUGGGGUGCGGUGCUGUGGGGUGCAGUGUUGUGGGGUGCGAUGCUGUGGGGCGCAUAGAAAGCACUGUGGGGUGCGGUGCUGUGGGGUGCGGUGCUGUGGGGCACACAGUGCUAUGGACAGCUCUAUGGGGUGUGAUGAUGUGGGGUGCGAUGCUGUGGGGCACACAGCUCUAUGGGGUGCAGUGCUGUGGGGUGCGCUGCUGUGGGGUGCAGUGCUGUGGGGCACAGAGCACUGUGGGGUGCAGUGCUGUGGGGUGCGGUGCUGUGGGGCAUACAGCUCUAUGGACCGCUCUAUGGGGUGUGAUGAUGUGGGGUGCGGUGCUGUGGGGCACACAGCGCUGUGGGGUGCGGUGCUGUGGGGUACGGUGCUGUGGGGCACACAGUGCUGUGGGGUGCACUGCUGUGGGGCACAUGGACAGUGAUGUGGGGUGCGGUGCUGUGGGGUGAGGUGCUGUGGGGCACACAGUGCUGUGGGGUGCGGUGCUGUGGGGCACACAGCUCUAUGGGGUGCGGUGUUGUGGGGUGUGGUGCUGUGGGGUGCAGUGCUGUGGGGCACACAGCUCUAUGGGGUGCGGUGUUGUGGGGUGUGGUGCUGUGGGGUGCAGUGCUGUGGGGCACACAGCUCUAUGGGGUGCGGUGCUGUGGGGCACACAGCUCUAUGGACGGCUCUAUGGGGUGCGGUGCUGUGGGGUGCGGUGCUGUGGGGCGCAUAGAAAGCACUGUGGGGUGCGGUGCUGUGGGGUGCGGUGCUGUGGGGUGCGGUGCUGUGGGGUGCGGUGCUGUGGGGCACACAGCGCUAUGGGGUGCAGUGCUGUGGGGUGCAGUGCUGUGGGGUGCAGUGCUGUGGGGCACACAGCGCUGUGGGGUGCAGUGCUGUGGGGUGAAGUGCUGUGGGGUGCAGUGCUGUGGGGCACACAGCACUGUGGGCAGUGUUAUGGGGUGCAGUGCUGUGGGGUGCGGUGCUGUGGGGCACACAGUGCUAUGGACGGCUCUAUGGGGUGUGAUGAUGUGGGGUGCGGUGCUGUGGGGCACACAGCGCUGUGAGGUGCGGUGCUGUGGGGCACAUGGACAGCUCUAUGGGGUGCGAUGCUGUGGGGCACACAGCUCUAUGGACACUUCUAUGGGGUGCAGUGCUGUGGGGUGCGGUGCUGUGGGGCACACAGCGCUGUGGGGCACACAGCUCUAUGGACGGCUCUAUGGGCUGCGGUGCUGUGGGGCACACAGUGCUGUGGGGUACGGUGCUGUGGGGCACACAGCUCUAUGGACGGCUCUAUGGGGUGCGGUGCUGUGGGGUGCGGUGUUGUGGGGCACACAGUGCUGUGGGGUGCGAUGGUGUGGGGCACAGCUCUAUGGACAGCUCUAUGGGGUGCAGUGCUGUGGGGUGUGAUGCUGUGGGGUGCAGUGCUGUGGGGCACACAGCGCUAUGGGGUGCGGUGCUGUGGGGCACACAGUGCUGUGGGGUGCGGUGCUGUGGGGCACACAGCUCUAUGGACAGCUCUAUGGGGUGCGGUGCUGUGGGGCAAUUGGACAGCUCUAUGGGGUGCACUGCUUUGGGGUGCGGUGCUGUGGGGUGCAGUGCUGUGGGGCACACAGCUCUAUGGACCGCUCUAUGGGGUGUGAUGCUGUGGGGUGCGGUGCUGUGGGGCACACAGUGCUAUGGACGGCUCUAUGGGGUGUGAUGAUGGGGGGUGUGGUGCUGUGGGGCAAAGAGCUCUGUGGGCAGCUCUAUGGGGUGCGGUGCUGUGGGGCACACAGUUCUAUGGGGUGCGGUGCUGUGGGGUGCAGUGCUGUGGGGCACAGCUCUAUGGACAGCUCUAUGGGGUGCGGCGCUGUGGGGCACAGCGCUGUGGGGCACAUGGACGGCGCUAUGGGUGUGAUGCUGUGGGGCACAGCGCUGUGGGGCACAUGGAGAGCGCUAUUGGGGGGUGAUGCUGUGGGGCACACACCUCUAUGGGGCACAUGGACAGUGCUGUGGGGCACAGUGCUGUGGGGCACAGCGCUGUGGGGCACAUGGAUGGCGCUGUGGGGUGUGGGGUGGGCGCUAUGGGGCACAUGGACGGCGCUAUGGGGCACAUGGACAGCGCUAUGGGGUGUGAUGCUGUGGGGCACAGCGCUGUGGGGCUCAAGGAUGGUGCUGUGGGGCACACGGUGCUAUGGGGUGCGGUGCUGUGGGGCAGACGGUGCUAUGGGGUGUGGGGCACAGCGCUGUGGGGCACAUGGACAGCGUUAUGGGGCACAUGGAGAGUGCUAUGGGGGGUGAUGCUGUGGGGCACAGUGCUGUGGGACACAUGGACAGCGCUAUGGGGUGUGAUGCUGUGGGGCACAGCGCUGUGGGGCACAAGGAUGGUGCUGUGGGGCACACGGUGCUAUGGGGUGUGGGGUGCAGUGCUGUGGGGCACAUGGAGAGCGCUAUGGGGGGUGAUGCUGUGGGGCACAGCGCUGUGGGGCACAGCGCUGUGGGGCACAUGGACAGCGCUAUGGGGCACAUGGACAGCGCUGUGGGGUGUGAUGCUGUGGGGCACAGCGCUGUGGGGCACAGGGAUGGCGCUGUGGGGCACAGUGGCAGCGCUAUGGGGCACAGUGGCAGCACUAUGGGGCGCAGUGACAGCGCUAUGGGGCACAGGGGUGGCUCUGUGGGGCAGAAGGAUGGCACUGUGGGGCCCAGGGAUGGCUCUAUGGGGCACAGCGGUGGUUCUAUGGGGCACAGUGACAGCGCUAUGGGGCACAGGGAUGGCUCUAUGGGGCACAGGGAUGGCUCUGUGGGGCACAGCAGUGGUUCUGUGGGGCACAGUGGCAGCGCUAUGGGGCACAGGGAUGGCGCUAUGGGCCACAGUGGCUGCGCUAUGGGGCACAGGGAUGGCGCUGUGGGACAGAAUGGUGGCACUAUGGGGCACAGUGGCAGCGCUAUGGGGCACAGCGGUGGUUCUAUGGGGCACAGGGAAGCCGCUAUGGGGCACAGUGGCGGCGCUAUGGGGCGCAGAGACAGCGCUAUGGGGCACAGGGAUGGCUCUAUGGGGCACAGCGGUGGUGCUAUGGGGCACAGUGGCAGCGCUAUGGGGCACAGUGACGGCGCUAUGGGGCACAGGGAUGGCUCUGUGGGGCACAGCGGUGGUGCUAUGGGGCACAGUGGCAGCGCUAUGGGGCACAGUGGCAGCACUAUGGGGCGCAGUGACAGCGCUAUGGGGCACAGGGGUGGCUCUGUGGGGCAGAAGGAUGGCACUGUGGGGCCCAGGGAUGGCUCUAUGGGGCACAGCGGUGGUUCUAUGGGGCACAGUGACAGCGCUAUGGGGCACAGGGAUGGCUCUAUGGGGCACAGGGAUGGCUCUGUGGGGCACAGCAGUGGUUCUGUGGGGCACAGUGGCAGCGCUAUGGGGCACAGGGAUGGCGCUAUGGGCCACAGUGGCUGCGCUAUGGGGCACAGGGAUGGCGCUGUGGGACAGAAUGGUGGCACUAUGGGGCACAGUGGCAGCGCUAUGGGGCACAGCGGUGGUUCUAUGGGGCACAGGGAAGCCGCUAUGGGGCACAGUGGCGGCGCUAUGGGGCGCAGAGACAGCGCUAUGGGGCACAGGGAUGGCUCUAUGGGGCACAGCGGUGGUGCUAUGGGGCACAGUGGCAGCGCUAUGGGGCACAGUGACGGCGCUAUGGGGCACAGGGAUGGCUCUGUGGGGCACAGCGGUGGUGCUAUGGGGCACAGUGGCAGCGCUAUGGGGCACAGUGGCAGCACUAUGGGGCGCAGUGACAGCACUAUGGGGCACAGGGAUGGCUCUAUGGGGCACAGCGGUGGUGCUAUGGGGCGCAGUGGCAGCGCUAUGGGGCACAGCGGUGGUUCUAUGGGGCACAGGGAUGGCGCUAUGGGGCACAGUGACGGCGCUAUGGGGCACAGGGAUGGCUCUAUGGGGCACAGUGGCAGCGCUAUGGGGCACAGUGGCAGCACUAUGGGGCGCAGUGACAGCACUAUGGGGCACAGCGGUGGUGCUAUGGGGCACAGCGGUGGUGCUAUGGGGCGCAGAGACAGCGCUAUGGGGCACAGGGAUGGCUCUAUGGGGCACAGCGGUGGUGCUAUGGGGCACAGUGGCAGCGCUAUGGGGCGCAGUGGCGGCGCUAUGGGGCACAGUGACGGCGCUAUGGGGCACAGGGAUGGCUCUAUGGGGCACAGUGGCAGCGCUAUGGGGCACAGUGGCAGCACUAUGGGGCGCAGUGACAGCACUAUGGGGCACAGCGGUGGUGCUAUGGGGCACAGCGGUGGUGCUAUGGGGCGCAGUGGCAGCGCUAUGGGGCACAGCGGUGGCUCUAUGGGGCACAGCGGUGGCUCUAUGGGGCACAGUGGCAGCGCUAUGGGGCACAGUGACAGCGCUAUAGGGCACAGGGGUCUCGCUAUGGGGCCCAGGGAUGGCUCUAUGGGGCACAGGGACAGCGCUAUGGGGCACAGGGAUGGCUCUAUGGGGCACAGCGGCAGCGCUAUGGGGCACAGGGAUGGCUCUAUGGGGCACAGUGGCAGCGCUAUGGGGCACAGGGAUGGCUCUAUGGGGCACAGUGGCGGCGCUAUGGGGCGCAGUGGCAGUGCUAUGGGGCACAGGGAUGGCUCUAUGAGGCGCAGUGAAAGUGCUAUGGGGCGCAGUGACAGUGCUAUGGGGCACAGGGGUGGCUCUGUAGGGCAGAAUGGUGGCACUAUGGGGCCCAGUGGUGGCGCUAUGGGGCACAGGGAUGGCUCUAUGGGGCACAGUGGCAGCGCUAUGGGGAGCAGUGGCAGUGCUAUGGGGCACAGGGAUGGCUCUAUGGGGCACAGCGGUGGCUCUAUGGGGCACAGGGAUGGCUCUAUGGGGCACAGCGGUGGUGCUAUGGGGCACAGUGGCAGCGCUAUGGGGCACAGUGGCAGCGCUAUGGGGCACAGUGGCGGCGCUAUGGGGCACAGUGGCAGCGCUAUGGGGCACAGUGACGGCGCUAUGGGGCACAGGGAUGGCUCUAUGGGGCACAGCGGUGGUGCUAUGGGGCACAGUGGCAGCGCUAUGGGGCACAGUGGCAGCACUAUGGGGCGCAGUGACAGCACUAUGGGGCACAGUGAUGGCUCUAUGGGGCACAGCGGUGGUGCUAUGGGGCGCAGUGGCAGCGCUAUGGGGCACAGCGGUGGCUCUAUGGGGCACAGUGGCAGCGCUAUGGGGCACAGUGACAGCGCUAUGGGGCACAGGGGUCUCGCUAUGGGGCCCAGGGAUGGCUCUAUGGGGCACAGGGACAGCGCUAUGGGGCACAGGGAUGGCUCUAUGGGGCACAGCGGCAGCGCUAUGGGGCACAGGGAUGGCUCUAUGGGGCACAGUGGCGGCGCUAUGGGGCGCAGUGGCAGUGCUAUGGGGCACAGGGAUGGCUCUAUGGGGCACAGCGGUGGUGCUAUGGGGCACAGUGGCAGCGCUAUGGGGCGCAGUGCCAGCGCUAUGGGGCACAGUGGCAGCGCUAUGGGGCACAGUGCCGGCGCUAUGGGGCACAGGGAUGGCGCUAUGGGGCACAGGGAUGGCUCUAUGGGGCGCAGUGGCGGCGCUAUGGGGCGCAGUGACAGCGCUAUGGGGCACAGUGGCAGCGCUAUGGGGCUCAGUGACAGCGCUAUGGGGCACAGUGACAGCGCUAUGGGGCACAGCGACGUCCGGAGGUGACACAUUGGUGUCCCCCGGCGGUGUCACGUGACCUCAUCACACAUUGAUGUCCCCGGCGGAGUCACGUGACGCUGUCACAGCGCCCCCCCCUUCGGUGGUGUCACGUGACCUCAUCGCAUAUUGGUGUCCCCGGCGGUAUCACGUGACCUCAUCGCACAUCGGUGUCCCCGGCGGUGUCACGUGACGCUGUCACAGCGCCCCCCCUCCCCCCCCCCCUUCGGUGGUGUCACGUGACCUCAUCGCAUAUUGGUGUCCCCCCGGCGGUGUCACGUGACCUCAUCGCAUAUUGGUGUCCCCCGGCGGUAUCACGUGACUUUAUCACACGUUGGUCCCCCCGGCGGUGUCACGUGACGCUGUCACAGCCCCCACCCCCCAAACCCGGUGGUGUCACGUGACCUCAUCGCAUAUUGGUAUCCCCCGUUGGUGUCACGUGAUCUCAUCACACAUUGAUGUCCCCGGCGGAGUCACGUGACGCUGUCACAGCGCCCCCCCUUCGGUGGUGUCACGUGACCUCAUCGCAUAUUGGUGUCCCCGGCGGUAUCACGUGACCUCAUCGCACAUCGGUGUCCCCGGCGGUGUCACGUGACGUUGUCACAGUGCCGCCCCCCCCCCCCCCCCCCCAAAAAACCCGGUGGUGUCACGUGACCUCAUCAGGCAUCCGUGUGCCCCGGCGGUGUCACGUGACGCUGUCACAGCGCUGUUCCCGGGCGGUGUCACGUGACCUCGUCGCACAUUGGUGUCCCCGGCGGUGUCACGUGACGCUGUCACAGCGCCCCCUCCCCCGUUGGUGUCACGUGACCUCAUCGCACGUUGGUUUCCCCCGGCGGUGUCACGUGACGUUAUCACACAUCGGUGUCCCCGGCGGUGUCACGUGACGUUGUCACAGUGCCGGGCCCCCCCCCCCCCCCCCCCCCGGUGGUGUCACGUGACUCUGUCACACAUUGGUGUCCCCCCCGGCGGUGUCACGUGACUCUGUCACACAUUGGUGUCCCUCCCCGGGGGGGGGGGGUUGGAACACAGCGAUGGGGACACCGAAGGGGGGGGGGGUCAGCUCGGUGACGUCAUUGGUGACGUCAUUGGGGACCCCCUGUGGGCUCAUCCUUUGGGGACAUCAGUGGGGACACUCCUUAAGGACACCCUAUGGGGACAGCAUUGGGGACAUCAGUGGGGACAUCAGUUUGGUGACGUCAUCAGCAUUGGGGACAACAUUGGGGACGUCAGUGGGGACAUCAGUGGGGGCAUUGGGGACAU